UACAGGGGGCUCAAGCGUUGUUCGGAUUCAUUGGGCGUAAAGGGUGCGUAGGCGGCGCGGUAAGUCGGAUGUGAAAUCUCGGAGCUUAACUCCGAAACUGCAUUCGAUACUGCCGUGCUUGAGGACUGGAGAGGAGACUGGAAUUUACGGUGUAGCGGUGAAAUGCGUAGAUAUCGUAAGGAAGACCAGUGGCGAAGGCGGGUCUCUGGACAGUUCCUGACGCUGAGGCACGAAGGCCAGGGGAGCAAACGGG
rnacentral:rRNA from 1 species